UAAGACGUAGGAGGCGAGCGUUAUCCGGAUUCAUUGGGCGUAAAGGGCAAGUAGGCGGUUGUCAAAGUUGGGCGUGACAUCUCCUGGCUCAACUAGGAGAGGUCGUUCAAAACUAGGCAACUAGAGGGCAGAAGAGGAAAGCGGAACUCCUGAUGUAGCGGUGGAAUGCUCAGAUAUCAGGAAGAACACCAGUGGCGAAGGCGGCUUUCUGGUCUGCACCUGACGCUGAGAGGCGAAGGCCAGGGUAGCGAACGGG
rnacentral:rRNA from 1 species